CUUGCUGCCUGACCUAUCGGCGGACGGGUGAGUAAUGCUUAGGAAUCUGCCUAUUAGUGGGGGACAACAUUCCGAAAGGAAUGCUAAUACCGCAUACGCCCUACAGGGGAAAGCAAGGGAUCUUCAGACCUUGCGCUAAUACAUGAGCCUAAGUCAGAUUAGCUAGUUGGUGGGGUAAAGGCCUACCAAGGCGACGAUCUGUAUCGGGUCUGAGAGGAUGAUCCGCCUCACUGGGACUGAGACACAGCCCAGACUCCUACGGGAGGCAGCAGUGGGGAAUAUUGGACAAUGGGCGAAAGCCUGAUCCAGCCAUGCCGCGUGUGUGAAGAAGGCCUUUUGGUUGUAAAGCACUUUAAGCGAGGAGGAGGCUACUUGGAUUAAUACUCUAGGAUAGUGGACGUUACUCGCAGAAUAAGCACCGGCUAACUCUGUGCCAGCAGCCGCGGUAAUACAGAGGGUGCGAGCGUUAAUCGGAUUUACUGGGCGUAAAGCGUGCGUAGGCGGCUUCUUAAGUCGGAUGUGAAAUCCCUGAGCUUAACUUAGGAAUUGCAUUCGAUACUGGGAAGCUAGAGUAUGGGAGAGGAUGGUAGAAUUCCAGGUGUAGCGGUGAAAUGCGUAGAGAUCUGGAGGAAUACCGAUGGCGAAGGCAGCCAUCUGGCCUAAUACUGACGCUGAGGUACGAAAGCAUGGGGAGCAAACAGGAUUAGAUACCCUGGUAGUCCAUGCCGUAAACGAUGUCUACUAGCCGUUGGGGCCUUUGAGGCUUUAGUGGCGCAGCUAACGCGAUAAGUAGACCGCCUGGGGAGUACGGUCGCAAGACUAAAACUCAAAUGAAUUGACGGGGGCCCGCACAAGCGGUGGAGCGUGUGGUUUAAUUCGAUGCAACGCGAAGAACCUUACCUGGUCUUGACAUAGUAAGAACUUUCCAGAGAUGGAUUGGUGCGUUCGGGAACUUACAUACAGGUGCCGCAUGGCUGUCGUCAGCUCGUGUCGUGAGAUGUUGGGUUAAGUCCCGCAACGAGCGCAACCCUUUUCCUUAUUUGCCAGCGGGUUAAGCCGGGAACUUUAAGGAUACUGCCAGUGACAAACUGGAGGAGGGCGGGGACGACGUCAAGUCAUCAUGGCCCUUACGACCAGGGCUACACACGUGCUACAAUGGUCGGUACAAAGGGUUGCUACCUAGCAAUAGGAUGCUAAUCUCAAAAAGCCGAUCGUAGUCCGGAUUGGAGUCUGCAACUCGACUCCAUGAAGUCG
rnacentral:rRNA from 1 species